rnacentral:rRNA from 1 species
UGGCGGGUGCUAAUACAUGCAAGUCGAGCGGAUUGAUGGAAGUGCUUGCCCUCCUGAUAGGUUAGCGGCGGACGGGUGAGUAACACGUAGGUAACCUGCCCAUAAGACUGGGAUAACUACCGGAAACGGUAGCUAAUACCGGAUAGUUCUUCUCUCGCAUGGGAGGGAAAGAAAGACGGAGCAAUCUGUCACUUAUGGAUGGACCUGCGGCGCAUUAGCUAGUUGGUUGAGGUAACGGCUCACCAAGGCGGAACGAUGCGUAGCCGACCUGAGAGGGUGAUCGGCCACACUGGGACCUGAGACACCGGCCCAGACUCCUACGGGAGGCAGCAGUCAGGGAAUCUUCCGCAAUGGGCGAAAGCCUGACGGACAACCGCCGCGUGAGUGAUGACAGGUUCCGGAUCGUAAAGCUCUGUUGCCAGGAAGACCGUCCUUUAAGAGUAACUGCUUAAA